rnacentral:rRNA from 1 species
UACGGGGGGGGGCAAGCGUUGUUCGGAAUUACUGGGCGUAAAGGGCUCGUAGGCGGCCAACUAAGUCGGACGUGAAAUCCCUCAGCUUAACUGGGGAACUGCGUCCGAUACUGGAUGGCUUGGAUUUGGGAGAGGGAUGCGGAAUUCCAGGUGUAGCGGUGAAAUGCGUAGAUAUCUGGAGGAACACCGGUGGCGAAGGCGGGUCUCUGGGCCGAUAUUGACGCUGAGGAGCGAAAGCGUGGGGAGCGAACAGG